GGGGAUGUAGCUCAGUGGUAGAGCGCGC
rnacentral:piRNA from 7 species